AUAAGGAGUCGAACCUGCCCAGUGAAAUAUUUUAAACGGCCGCGGUACUCUGACCGUGCAAAGGUAGCAUAAUCAUUUGCUCUAUAAUUGAGGGCUAGUAUGAAUGGUUUGACAAAAAUAAAACUGUCUCUUUUUAAUUAUAUAGAAUUUUAUUUUUAGGUGAAGAAGCCUAAAUUAAAUUAAAAGACAAGAAGACCCUAUCGAGCUUUAAAUAAAUUAAUAGGAUUGUAGGUAUAUUUAUUAAAGCAAUAUUUAUUAAAGAUUUUGGUUGGGGCGACAGAGGAACAUAUAAAGCUUCUUUUAAAUAACUUUAAACUGGACAAGUUAUGAUCCAAUAAACUUGAUUAAAGAAAUUAGUUACCGUAGGGAUAACAGCAUUAUCUUUUUUAAGAGUUCAUAUCGAAAAAAAGGUUUGUGACCUCGAUGUUGGACCAGAAUAUCCUAAAGAUGCAGAAGUCUUUAAGGGUUGGUCUGUUCGACCAUUAAAAUUCUA
rnacentral:rRNA from 1 species